rnacentral:rRNA from 1 species
ACGGAGGGAGCUAGCGUUGUUCGGAAUUACUGGGCGUAAAGCGUACGUAGGCGGUUAUUCAAGUCAGAGGUGAAAGCCUGGAGCUCAACUCCAGAACUGCCUUUGAAACUAGAUAGCUAGAAUCUUGGAGAGGUGAGUGGAAUUCCGAGUGUAGAGGUGAAAUUCGUAGAUAUUCGGAAGAACACCAGUGGCGAAGGCGACUCACUGGACAAGUAUUGACGCUGAGGUACGAAAGCGUGGGGAGCAAACAGGAUUAGAUACCCUGGUAGUCCACGCCGUAAACGAUGAUAACUAGCUGUUCGGGCUCUACGAGCUUGAGUGGCGCAGCUAACGCAUUAAGUUAUCCGCCUGGGGAGUACGGUCGCAAGAUUA